rnacentral:rRNA from 1 species
UACGUAGGUGGCAAGCGUUGUCCGGAAUGACUGGGCGUAAAGCGUACGUAGGUGGUUAUUCAAGUCGGUAGUGAAAUCCCGGGGCUCAACUCCGGUGCUACUACCGAGACUGUUUAACUUGAGUGCAGGAGGGGUAAGUGGAAUUCCUAGUGUAGCGGUGGAAUGCGUAGAUAUUAGGAAGAACACCGGUGGCGAAGGCGACUUACUGGACUGUAACUGACACUGAGGUACGAAAGCGUGGGGAGCAAAC